CUAAAAAAUAGUAAGAGCAUAUGGUGAAUGCCUUGGAAAAUGGAGCCGAAGAAGGACGUGACUACCUGCGAUAAGUCUGGGGGAGCUGGAAGUAAGCUGGAAGUAAGCUU
rnacentral:rRNA from 1 species